rnacentral:rRNA from 1 species
UAUGUAGGGGGCAAGCGUUGUCCGGAUUUAUUGGGCGUAAAGAGCGUGUAGGCGGCUUUACAGGUCCGUUGUGAAAACUCGAGGCUCAACCUCGAGACGCCGGUGGAAACCGUAAGGCUAGAGUCCGGAAGAGGAGAGUGGAAUUCCUGGUGUAGCGGUGAAAUGCGUAGAGAUCAGGCGGAACACCCGUGGCGAAGGCGGCCAGCUGGGCCGUCCCUGACGCUGAGGCGCGAAGGCGUGGGGAGCGAACGGG